AGGAGUUGCUGGUUUUUCCUCUAACGGAGUGACUGCACUGCCAUCAUCUUCCUCACCUUCUGCUAUAGUUUCAUUUACAGCAAGCUCUUCUAGAAAUUUCUGGUCGAGGUUAUCAGCAACACGGGCAGAAGUGAAGAUGGUGAUAGCAAGGAGAGAGAGUGGAAAUACCAAAGCAAAUAUAUAACUGCCCGAACUAAUUCCACCAGCACGAGUCACCAUUGAUAACCCUCUGCUCUUCUUCUUCAAUUGAAGAAUACGUGAAGAAGAAUCCACAAACAGCAGCUGCUGCUGUUGCAGUUGCAGGUUAUUGAA
rnacentral:misc_RNA from 1 species